rnacentral:lncRNA from 1 species
CUUGAGUUUCAUGUGUUUAGCAAAUUAUAUCUUAUAUCUUGGGUAUCCUAGGUUUGGGGCUAAUAUCCACUUAUCAGUGAAUACAUAUUGUGUGAGUUUCUUUGUGAAUGUGUUACCUCACUCAGGAUGAUGCCCUCCAGGUCCAUCCAUUUGGCUAGGAAUUUCAUAAAUUCAUUCUUUUUAAUAGCUGAGUAGUACUCCAUUGUGUAGAUGUACCACAUUUUCUGUAUCCAUUCCUCUGUUGAGGGGCAUCUAGGUUCUUUCCAGCUUCUGGCUAUUAUAAAUAAGGCUGCUAUGAACAUAGUGGAGCAUGUGUCCUUCUUACCUGUUGGGGCAUCUUCUGGAUAUAUGCCCAGGAGAGGUAUUGCUGGAUCCUCCGGUAGUACUAUGUCUGGAAGCAGAACUUAGCCCAGGCCCUAUGAACUAAGCAUUUGUAACUUUCAUUAUUAAAAGACUUGCAGAUCCCUAGGCAGUGGUUAUGAAUCAGACCCUCUUCUCAUCACAGUUAUGAAAACUGAGCAUGUGUCCCAGAUUGAUCAUGGCUGUAUACCUCGCUGAUUUGGUACCAUUUUGCUUUUACAGGCUCUAUGAUAAACAUGUGGUGGGGGUCCAUUUCAUCAACUGCUGCAGACUUCUCAGCCAGAAGGGCAACACAGUUGGCUAUGCUACUGAUCUGCCACCUUUUAAUGACCUGAUAAUUAAAAAUGAUGGGCAGAUAAAAAUAGAGCAGAUGAACACAGCUCCACAAGGCAGGUCCUCUCUCCUGACAGUCACUCUCCUCAGGCAGGGGGUAUGAACACUCAAGGACAGAAGCCAGACUUUAACUGGCCAGGAACCCAAUCAUUCUUUUUCUUUUUCUUUUUUUUCUUUUUUUUUUUGUGACUGUAAGCAUAUUACAUAAUUAAUUUGUUGUUUCCCCCUCACACUAUCAGAGUACUGAGUGAAUAAUUAUAUUUGCUUUGUGUUUGAAGCAUAGGUUGUGUGUCUGUGUGUGUGUAUAUAUGUCUGUGUCUGCAUGUGUGUGUGUGUGUGUGUGUGAAAAUUAUCUGUUUAGGACUGUUUUGUGAUCAAUUAUGUGGUCAAUUUUGGAGAAGGUAUCAUGAGAUGCUGAGGACAAGGUAUAUCCUUUUGUUUUAGGAUAAAUCUCCUUGUACAAAGCUCAAGUCUAAGUGGAUUGAGGAACUCCACAUAAAACCAGAGACACUGAAAUUUAUAGAGGAGAAAGUGGGUAAUAGCCUUGAACAUAUGGACACAGGGGAAAAAUUCCCAAGUAGAACACCAAUGGCUUGUUCUGAAAGAUCGAGAAUUAACAAAUAGGACCUCAUAAAACUGCAAUGUUUCUGUAAAGCAAAGGAAGUUGUCAAUAAGACGAAAAAGCAACCAAAAAAUUGGGAAAAGAUCUUUACCAAUCCUAAAUAUGAUGGAGGGCAAAUAUCUAAUAUAUAU